AGAAAGUGCUAGGCACGUAGGCGUUCAGGAGACAGUCACGGUACUCGUUUCCAGACAGAAGUCAUGAGGAACAAGAGGGAAGGUGCUUUCCCGUGUGCAGCGCUUGGGGAGACUCACACAGACAGAGGAUCUGGCAUGACAGGGAAAGGAGGAAAUGGCUUCUGUUAAUCUCUCCUUCAGCUUCUCCCGCCCUUCCCAUGCACUCUUCCUGUUUCCCUUUCCAGUUCUCACGGUGACUCAAGGAACAACGUGUGAAAUGAAAGACCUCAGGUGCUGUAUUGGCUCUUGACAGCUCUUCAGAAGAAAAUACCUCCUGCCUGUUCUGUUCAGUCCUGGUGCAGGUGAGUCACUGCCUUGCCAGCCAGGCAAGUAUUUUAAGAAACAAAAUCUAAGCCAGAACCAGCAGAGAAAUACGAGGGAUGGAUUAGCGCCAUUAGCUUUGAUGGUGUCUUGUUGUCAUGGUGCUAGGAAAAUCACUAUCAUUUACAGUCCCACUCACCAGCUGUUUUGCUAGAAUUUUUGACAUGAGAGGCUGGUGGCCACCCUAACACAGGCGUGGGACAUGGGUGUGCACACACACGUACACCUGCAGCAGACACCCACUCUAGAGGGCUCACGUUGGUUGUCUGGGACGUGAUUCAAAGGCUGUACCCAUGUGUAUGACAAUCCUGUUUCCCGUACAUCAGCUUCCAGGAAGCCAAAUGACCCACCGGCUUACCCACAUCGCAGGAAGCUUUGGAGCAGAGUCAGUGACUAUGUGAACCUGCCUCAACCUCUGCUCCCUGGUUCAGCAUUUGGCUUGGGAAAAAUGACACUAUUUCCUGUCUCUUAAACAUUAUUUCAAGGCACAGGUCUUCCACCAUUCUGAGAGGCAGGGGGAUCUUUGAGUUCUGCCAGGAGCUGGGGGUUAGGGGUAGGGGAAUCCCGCCCAAGGGAAAUGACUAGAAUCUUUGUCAGGCUGUGGAACACAGGCAUUUCUGGAUAGGUGGCCUCCCCUGUGGCCUCUCCUGGCAUCUACACUGCAAAGUCCCCUGUAUCUACUGAAAGGGGUGAGGGUGGGGGCAUUCAUUGGUACUGGGAGGCAAGCUUUGAGUGGAAAGGAGCUUCUCUCGUGGCCCUCCAGUGAGCCACACUAGAGGAGGCCUCAGAUGCAUGGUGCUCCCUGCUCAGACUCACACUUGCCUGACUCCCUCCUUCGUGCUCUUCCUUCGGCUGCCCUUACCUGGGGGACUACAGUGGCUGUGGGGGUGCAGCGGGGGUUGGGGGGGGCGGCAUACCUCACUACCUGGCUUUUCCCAAGUCCCUUUAAUUAAGCCAAAUCUUUGUAUGAAUGUAAAAUACAAGUAGGCUUUAUCCCUGGGCCCUGUGCUCCUCUGCCCCAGAUUCUGACUCAAGGGCUUGGAGCAGACUUAUUUUUACUAAAAGCCCAAGUGAUUCGAUUGCAGGUGGUCCUGGACAACACUUUGAAAAAUGCUGGGGCAGAAACAAGCCAGCAAGCAUAUGGGAUUCAUCUGCUGUGAGUGAUAAUUUAUCUAGUUUCUAAAAAUAGUGUUAUAGGCUGGACUGUGUCCCCUUCCUGUGCCCCGCCGCCAUGCAUAUAUGGACGCCUAGUACCUCAGAAUGUGACUGUAUUUGGAAACAGGGCCUUUGAAGAAGUAAUUAAGUUAAAAUGAGGUCAUUAGGGUGGGCAGUAAUACAGUAUAACUGGUGUCCUUAUAAGAAGAGAUUAGGACACAGAUGCACACAGAGGGAAGACCAUAUGAACACAGAGGGAGAAGACAGCCACCUGCAAGCCACAGAGAGAGCCCUUCAAAGAAACCAACCCUGCAGACAAUUUGAUCUCAGGUUUCUGGCCUCCAGAAUUGUGAGAAAAUAAAUUUCUGUUGUUUAAGUCACCCA
ensembl:lncRNA LINC00881 long intergenic non-protein coding RNA 881